rnacentral:pre_miRNA from 1 species
CUAACAACGGCACUGACCUUUCCAUAUAAUUAGUAAGUGCUAUUUGUUGGGCUAGUUUGAAGUGA